rnacentral:lncRNA from 1 species
GACCCUGUCCCUACAAAAAUAAAAUAUUUUUUUAAAAGAACCUAAACCUUACACAUUUUUUUUUUUAGCUUCAAAACUAAAGACCUGGUUUUUUCAUUGUAGAUAAUAGCAAAUUGCUAACAUUUAUUGAGUGGCUGUUGUUUUCAGGAACUUGUCUAAGUGCUUUACUUGUAAUAGCAUAUUCCACUUUCAUAAAUAUAAGAAGUAGGCCUCAGUAUUGCCAUUCUUCAGAUAAACUGAAGCUCGGAAUGGUUAAGAAACCUUCUGAUGUCUCAUAACUAGUUAGAAAUAAUAGAACUGGAACUGGGAAACCUGGCCUGAUUGACACCAAAGCUCUUAACUUCAGCUGUACUGCUUCUGUUUGUGAGAUUGCUGUUGCCAGUUAGGUUUUCAAAAUAGGCUGCUUUAUUGGCUGAUGGUUGAUGAGUAGGAUUUGUAAAUAUUUACCUUAUAAGAAAAGGAGAUUACUUUCUGAAGGUGGUAGAAAGAGAAUUGUGGUUAAUGGGGUACACAUCCUGUUGCAUCAAGCAAUUACUACUUCACUAAAAUUGUCCCAAGUUGUAUACCCUAUGAUGAUCCUAUUGUGCAUAAAACCACAUAGCUGGAACAUUUGUUCUAUUUAUAAUGUACUGUUACUUUGUUUAGUGGAAGAGAACAUUAGUGUACAUGCUACAGAAACUGGUAAACUAACCCAAAGCACAUUUCUUUUCAGUUCUGGAAUUAAUUAUGUGUUGUAGGCAUUCUUAGUUUUUUGUUUUGGUAAUGGAUUUAUCUAUUCAGUCAUGUUUUCUUUAGCUCGCUUUCAAGUUGCUUCAUAAUCCGCCAACAUAGAGCUGUGUCGUAGAAAGCUGGCCUAUUGAAGCCCUUCAAUGUAAAGUGCAACAUCUGGAAGGAGUCUCUGAAGGUGAAAUUUCUAUAUAGUCUGAAGAAAUCAGGAGCAGAAUACUACCCACCUUCCCACCCUCUGGCCCCUGGAGAAAUUUCUGGAUAAGACAGUGUUAUGAUGGGAAUCUGUCUGUUGAGGCAGACAACAGACUGGUGAUCCCCUAAUGCUGCCAGCAUUCUGGAAUAAAUGAGGCAUUAUCACCUGUGCCUUAAAAAGUAUGACAUCUUACAGUGGUUCUUAACCAAGGGAGUGUUUUUGGAUGUCACACUGACUUGACAGGUAGGAGUGUAGAAAAACUGCCAGCAUUUAGUGGGUAGAGGUCAAGGAUUUUAUAUUUGUGCCUGCACGAGGAAGAACUGCCCUGUGAAAAAUGCUAUUGAGAAAUAUUUAUGUGAACAGCAUAUACCAACAGGACUAAACAUUCAAUAGGAGGAUUCCUUAGAAUCUUAAAUGUAGAAGAUAGAUGUGACCAGUAUUGAUAAUGUCACACACCAUGCUAGUCAGUUUACCUAGUGCCAAAAAGGGCUUUUGCUGUUUUUGCAUUAUUAAAUGUAAUAUAGUGGACAUAACCAUUAAACAUUUGAAUUAGUUACAUGGUGGUAGCAAGAAAUGGAGAACUCAUGUUACUAAAAAUUUUUAAGAAAAAAUGUGUAAUCUGUAUAAUGAUUCGAAGAGUACCUGUUGAAUGUCCAUUUUUGAUAAUUGUGUGCAAGAAGAAAGUUUUUGAACCCCAGGAUAGAAUAAGCAUGAUGAAUCUAGGAUUAGGCCUAGGUUCAAAUCUACCAUUCAUAAACUUUCAGCUAGUCACCUCAUGCUAGUUACUUAACUUCCUCUUUAAAAUAUUUUUGUAGUAUAUUAUAUAGGAUAAUUGUAUAAGUAACCGCUUAUGGUAAAAAUUUAAACUUAAUGAGAGUAUAAAUUAAAAAGUAAAAACACAGUUUCCCUCUACAAUUCCCCAAAAAAGUUAUUUAUGUCCCAGUGAUAACCAACGUUAAAUGUUUUUUUCUUUAGUAUCCUUCCAGAAUGUAUUUAUAAAUUGUACUUGUUUGUAUGUAUCCUUUAAAUACAUACACAGAAGACAUACGAUAUAUACUAUUUCCUCCUACUUGAUUUUUAUUAUUUAAUGUAUCUCAGGUACAUUUUUGCAUCAAUAUAAAAAUCUACCUCAUGCCCUCAUUGUGUUCAUCUUAAAUAGUCUAUUUAACUAGUCCCUUCUUGAUAGAUAUUAGGGUUUUUUCUUUGGUUCUUUUAUGUAUGUGUGUGUGUGUGUGUGUGUGUGUGUGUGUGUGUGUGUUUUUAAG